GACGAACGCUGGCGGCGUGCUUAACACAUGCAAGUCGAACGGAAAGGCCCUGCUUUUGUGGGGUGCUCGAGUGGCGAACGGGUGAGUAACACGUGAGUAACCUGCCCUUGACUUUGGGAUAACUUCAGGAAACUGGGGCUAAUACCGGAUAGGAGCUCCUGCUGCAUGGUGGGGGUUGGAAAGUUUCGGCGGUUGGGGAUGGACUCGCGGCUUAUCAGCUUGUUGGUGGGGUAGUGGCUUACCAAGGCUUUGACGGGUAGCCGGCCUGAGAGGGUGACCGGCCACAUUGGGACUGAGAUACGGCCCAGACUCCUACGGGAGGCAGCAGUGGGGAAUAUUGCACAAUGGGCGGAAGCCUGAUGCAGCAACGCCGCGUGCGGGAUGACGGCCUUCGGGUUGUGAACCGCUUUCGCCUGUGACGAAGCGUGAGUGACGGUAAUGGGUAAAGGAGCACCGGCUAACUACGUG
rnacentral:rRNA from 1 species